GCCGCCGGAACCCCCGCCGUAGCGGCCCGCGGGCGUCCCCGAGGCCCCCAGUCCCAGGGCCCCUGCCACCCUAGCGCCGGCCCCACUCACCCUUUCAUUCUCCGCCCGCGGCCUGGCGUGGGCCGGCGAAUCCCCGGCCUCACAUCAGAGAGGCGCUGGCGGCGGACUAGGAAGCUCGGCUGCUACUGCUCUCCCCCUGGGCUUCAGCGGGAGCCUUUCCCUGUCGAACAAGAGGGGUGAGGAUCAUAUUUUUAUUUUGGGUCGGCGAUCAUUAGGGGGAAAUCCCUGAAUGUACUCUCCAGCCGAGAAGGCAGGGCUGCCCGGCUGCACUGGCAGGGGCAGCAGCCUCCUACAGCACCACUACAGGCACCGCGGGGACAUGACACCACACAGCAGUCCUCUGCCCUCCGAAACGACAACUUUCCUACCAUCUUGGAGGCCGAGCAAAGAGGAGCCAAGGGGAAAAGUGCAACCGGCGGCAGAUAAAGUACAAAUCUCUACCUCUCCUCUCGGGAAAAAGUCCACACUCGCGGUCUCCGCCGGCGCCUAGGGGGUCUGAAAAGCGGGGAAGGAAACAAGCAAGUUCAUUUGCUCCGUGGGGGGAGGGGGAGAAAUGUUUCUGCACCUCUGAUGGGAAGAAAUCUUUACAAGACACAGGUUUUACGAUAUUAUUGUUUUCCAUUUUAAUUUUUUCCCCCGGUGGUGACAGUGGUAGCUUAGUUUUUUUUUUUCAGACUAAUUAUGAUUUUUCUCUGUGGCAGGCCCAAGUUCCAUAUGUGGUGGUCAGUCUGUAAAUUGGCACCUCAGAGACUUCAAGGUCACUUUAUUGUAUUUAUUUUGUUGCCCGUUUAUAUUGUAUGUAUGCAGGCUUAUGUUUUCAGGUUACAGUUAAGAUUUUGUGGUCUUGGUAACCACGAAACUGAGGGUGCUGCAAGUCAAUUGUAAAGAGAUGUCUUUUGUCUUCUCUCGGGGCGCUGUAAGUUAAACCUAUUGACUGUCCAGAAAGACCCAAGAUAGCUGUUUAUUUUUCACAGUGCAAAUAAAAGCACCGUGUAUCUAAAGCUUCCUACAGCAGACCAAACCUGUGGUCUGUCUGCCCAAGAAGAAAGAUUACUCCACUAAACCUAGCAGUAGACUGAAAGAUGCUUUGGAUUUUCUUUAAGUAAAAUUAUUUAUUAAGAA